CAGACCUCUACAGCACAGAGAUCCAGCCAUGGUACCUACAAUCACUUCAACUAUGAUCUACUCUAAGGAGCACCUGACUCUGACAAACAAGCUAAGAAAGUCAUUGGAGAAGUUAUACAGAGACCGUAUCAACAACAGCAUUUAGAGAUCCUCAAUCAGCAGCCCGACUCCAAGAUGGACAAUUUCAACAUCCUGGAGAUUACAGUUUGCUUCCUGAGAUGACAGCAACAGGACCAGCCAAUCAGGAGGAUUUCCUCCUCCUGCUCAGCACCUGUCAAUCAGGGUUACUCCAAGUGUGUCCAAUCGAUUGUUCACUUCCUGUCUAAAGAUGAGGUGAAGACACAGUUCCAGAGAAGCCUGCUGAGCCACUUCCAGAGCCUGCAGCCACCCUUUGAUAAGAACAGGAGGGAGAGUGACCUGCCUCAUCCUCCCAGCCCAGCAUCUGCAAAUAUUAGAGUCCCGUCAACAUUGCCCUCUGGAGGCCUUGUUUGAGACCUACAGACUGGAGCUCCACUCAGACAACCACAAUGGACAAUUGGCAUCUAUUUUUAAUGUGGGGAUAAUAAGAAUUCCCGUUUUGCUGUUGCAGGAUGUUUAAAAAGUCUUGCUGUGAUUGAGAAUUUUACUUCAGUUGUGCUGAAGUAGAAGCAUUUUCCUGAGAAAAUGAUCUGAUCUGCAAAAGCUACAUUUUUGUAGUGUUAAAAUUAAAUCAUAAUAAUUUAUGUUUCAUGAAAAAUAUGUUGAUUAUGUUGAUCACGUGUUCAUUCAUGGGCAACAUCAGUUGCAAUGGUUCUCUUAGAGGACUUCCAACCCAAAUGGGUGUUAUAUAAUCAAUAUAUUUUUGAUUUCUUUGAUUGAUCUGUUUUGAAGUUCAAACUCUAUAAGAUACAAACGUAUUGCCUCUACAUUUGUGUAGUGAUAUAGUCAUAUUGUAUUGAGCAUCUAUCAGUUAUAUAUUUGACAUUGAUGAACUUGAGCUACGGCGCCAACGUCCCUCCAUGAGGAUUACUUAACAAAAUCACUCUGUGACGAACAGUAUUUGAUCUGUUUUAAGAUCAGUCUUUACAUGUGAAAAUGUUGCUUACAUUACCUGAACAACACAUUUUUCUCAUUCUAAAACACUUGUUUAUUCUUCGAGCCUGUUAGACUUUACAUGCACUCGUAUCCAGAGCAAUUUUCAGUAGUGAAGACAUAUAUUUUCAUACGGUGCCCCAAUGGGGAUUAAACCCAUUAUCACUGGAGUUUCAAGCACCAUGCUCUACCAAGUGAGCUAAGCCAAACAAGUGGAGCACCAGUAUCUUUUGGAAAUGUAUCAAAGUUGCAGUUGUGAUGUUCACUUACAUUAUUUGCGCCUUAAGGUGUUCUCUACAAAGUGAUUAAUCGAGUCAAUUUAAAUAAAUUGAAAAUAUAUCA